rnacentral:rRNA from 1 species
GCACAAGCGGAGGAGCAUGUGGUUUAAUUCGAUGAUACGCGAGGAACUUACCUGGGCUCGAACGUAAGAUGACUGUAGGUGAAAGCUUACAUCUCUUCGGAGCAUUUUACGAGGUGCUGCAUGGUUGUCGUCAGCUCGUGCCGUGAGGUGUCGGGUUAAGUCCCAUAACGAGCGCAACCCCUACCUUUAGUUGCCAUCAGGUAAUGCUGGGGACUCUAAAGGAACUGCCUACGCAAGUAGUGAGGAAGGCGGGGAUGACGUCAAAUCAGCACGGCCCUUACGUCCAGGGCUACACACGUGCUACAAUGGCCGAUACAGAGGGCAGCUACCUGGUGACAGGAUGCAAAUCUCCAAAGUCGGUCUCAGUUCGGAUCGGAGUCUGCAACCCGACUCCGUGAAGUUGGAUUCGCUAGUAAUCGCGCAUCAGCCAUGGCGCGGUGAAUACGUUCCCGGGCCUU